rnacentral:rRNA from 1 species
GUGCCAGCAGCCGCGGUAAGACGGAGGAGGCAAGCGUUAUCCGGAAUUAUUGGGCGUAAAGCGCGUGUAGGCGGUCCGUUAAGUCUGAUGUGAAAGCCCAGGGCUCAACCCUGGAAGUGCAUUGGAAACUGGCGGACUUGAGUACGGGAGAGGGAAGUGGAAUUCCGAGUGUAGGGGUGAAAUCCGUAGAUAUUCGGAGGAACACCAGUGGCGAAGGCGGCUUCCUGGACCGAUACUGACGCUGAGACGCGAAAGCGUGGGGAGCAAACAGGAUUAGAUACCCUGGUAGUCCACGCCGUAAACGAUGGGUACUAGGUGUUGCGGGUAUUGACCCCUGCAGUGCCGAAGCUAACGCAUUAAGUACCCCGCCUGGGGAGUACGGUCGCAAGAUUAAAACUUAAAUGAAUUGACGGGG